CUUGAUUCUAGGCAUUCAUUUGAGUGCCGAUAUUAUUUUCACGGUAUUCUCAUUAUACGGAGGUACAGUACGUAGGCAGAAGCGAGACAAUGUUGUUUUCAAGUAUAUACAGAUUUCAGACGUGAAUAUUGAGUAAAUCUUUGAAAAUCUACACAAUAUAUAAAUUGAUCUUAUGCAUUACGGGCGUUCAAUUGAAUAAGUGCCGAUAAUAUUUAGACGGUAUAUUCAUUAUACAGAGCUAGGAAGGAGCUAGACC